rnacentral:rRNA from 1 species
CGCCUGGGGAGUGCGGCCGCAAGGUUAAAACUCAAAUGAAUUGACGGGGGCCCGCACAAGCGGUGGAGCAUGUGGUUUAAUUCGACGCAACGCGAAGAACCUUACCUGGCCUUGACAUCCAGAGAACUUUCCAGAGAUGGAUUGGUGCCUUCGGGAACUCUGAGACAGGUGCUGCAUGGCCGUCGUCAGCUCGUGUCGUGAGAUGUUGGGUUAAGUCCCGUAACGAGCGCAACCCCUAUCCCUGGUUGCUAGCAGGUAAUGCUGAGAACUCCAGGGAGACUGCCGGUGACAAACAGGAGGAAGGUGGGGAUGACGUCAGGUCAUCAUGGCCCUUACGGCCAGGGCUACACACGUGCUACAAUGGCGCGUACAGAGGGCUGCCAACUCGCGAGAGUGAGCCAAUCCCUUAAAACGCGUCGUAGUCCGGAUCGGAGUCUGCAACUCGACUCCGUGAAGUCGGAAUCGCUAGUAAUCGCGAAUCAGAAUGUCGCGGUGAAUACGUUCCCGGGCCUUGUACACACCGCCCGUCACACCAUGGGAGUGGAUUGCACCAGAAGUAGUUAGUCUAACCUUCGGGAGGACGAUUACCACGGUGUGGUUCAUGACUGGGGUGAAGUCGUAACAAGGUAACCGUA